rnacentral:lncRNA from 1 species
UUGAAUUUCAUUUUGACUCCUCUAUUAAAAAAUAGAUAAAUUAGUCUUUAUACGUUAGAUCAAAGAGUAAAUUAGUCUUCUAUUAAAAAUUUUAUCCAUUUCUACUAUUAAAAACUAGUCCCUAUAUGUUAGCAUGAGGUACACAUGGCACGCUACAGUUUGGUUCAUCUGUCAGCCAUGUUAGUUUUUAAUAGUAGAAAUGAGUGAAAUUUUAACAAAAAUGACCAAUUUGCUCUUUGAUCUAAUGUACAGAGACUAAUUUAUUCAUUUUUUUAAUAGAGAAAGCAAAAUGCAAUCUGACACUUAAUACAGGGGCCUCCAUGAUAUUUUUACCCAUAAACAUAAUUAUAAUUACAAAUACAAAUAAUAUACAUAAUAAU